rfam:Betacoronavirus HKT24 strain HKT24-R05005I, complete genome
GCACUCUCUAUCAGAAUGGAUGUCUUGUCACUACAAUAGAUAGAGAAGGUUGUAGUGGACUA